GACGGAAGGUGCAAGCGUUGCUCGGAAUCACUGGGCGUAAAGGGUGCGUAGGCGGCUGUGCAAGUCUGGCGUGAAAGCCCCGGGCUCAGCCUGCGAAGUGCGCUCGAAACUGCGCAGCUCGAGUGCCGGAGGGGAGAGUGGAAUUCCUGGUGUAGCGGUGAAAUGCGUAGAUAUCAGGAGGAAUACCGGUGGCGAAAGCGACUCUCUGGACGGCAACUGACGCUGAGGCACGAAAGCGUGGGGAGCAAAUGGG
rnacentral:rRNA from 1 species